rnacentral:rRNA from 1 species
UUUAAAUGAGAGUUUGAUCCUGGCUCAGGACGAACGCUGGCGGCGUGCCUAACACAUGCAAGUCGAGCGAGGUAUUUGCGACUGAUUCCUUCGGGAAGAAGC